AGGGUUUGACAUCCUGCGAAUCUCUUGGAAACGAGAGAGUGCCUUCGGGAACGCAGUGACAGGUGGUGCAUGGCUGUCGUCAGCUCGUGUCGUGAGAUGUUGGGUUAAGUCCCGCAACGAGCGCAACCCACGUCUUUAGUUGCCAGCAUUUAGUUGGGCACUCUAGAGAGACCGCCGGUGAUAAACCGGAGGAAGGUGUGGAUGACGUCAAGUCAUCAUGCCCCUUACAUCCUGGGCUACACACGUACUACAAUGCUACGGACAAAGGGCAGCAAGUUCGCGAGGACAAGCAAAUCCCAUAAACCGUGGCUCAGUUCAGAUCGUAGGCUGCAACUCGCCUACGUGAAGGAGGAAUCGCUAGUAAUCGCAGGUCAGCAUAC
rnacentral:rRNA from 1 species